CCACCUCCCACGAAUCCAACGUCUCUUACUAACCUCUCAUAAACACACGCGCGCGGCACACCCUCCUCCCUCGAUCCCCUUCUUUCCCGAGAAACCCUAGGUAAAGCACUGCCGCCUCCCUCUUCCUCCCUCUCCCCGAUCCAGAUCCCUCCUCCCAUCCACAACCCCUCCUGUCCCAGUGACCCCCACAGCAGAUCGAGAGAGCCUCCCAACCUCACCGUUGAUAGAUGCACCGCCGCCAAGCAGCCACGGCCGGAUGGCUCGCCGGUGUGUGCAUUCUUCUAUGUGCGCCGCUUUGUCGUUCCCCACCCUAGCAAUCGAUCCAAGCUGCCGCUGCUUCACCGGGCUACUCCAUCUUUCCUGCGACCACGAGUGACCACCCAAGUCCACUCUCGAUCCCCAAAGCCAAAGGCAGAGCCAGCCGCCGCUGGCACCCGUUGUCUUCCCCAGCCCCGGCCUUCACUCCAUCGCUGACGCCCUCUCCCCUCCUCUCCCUCUCCGUAGAUCCUCUCGAGCAACAUUGCCCACGGGCAGAUCCGCUCCCUCCUCGCGCCGGAAACCCUAGCUAUCGGGGACCGACCGCGGACGCACGACUCGGGCUCGAACAACAGUGGUAUGGUGUCAUGGAGCAGAGCUUGCUCUGUCCGGGAUGCCAUGGAUCUUGUGCGCGUGAAGCUCUUUCUUCCUCCAGCAGAAAAACGUACAAGCAGCAUCAAGGACGGACCCGGCGGAAAACCCAUGGUGCCAUCUGCAGGACAAAUCGGCGUGCUAAUCUGUCGAGCCCUUCUGAUUUCAUGUUCGCUAUCUUAUGAGAACCUGGUGUGCUAUAUGGGGAAGCAAAGCAGCAGCCCACAACUCCGACUUGCGACUCUAGAUGAAGGCACCACGACACACCAUGCUACUCCCUUGGAAGGCCGGCUGAGCGACGCGGCGGCGAAGGCAGUGAACGAGCUGCUGUCGUCGGGCGCCGCCGGCAAACUGAGUAGCCUCUGCUCCUGGGCCGACAAGGUCAGGUUUAGGUACUACUAGUCGGCGCCGCUCCACUUCAUCGACGUCACCGACAACGUCUGCAGCUACUACUACGACAGGGACUGCAAGGACGAGAAGGGCGUCAAGGGCCGCUGCGUCACCGGUGCCAUCAACAACUACACCUCCCAGCUCCUUACCUAGGGAUCAUCAUCGCCAUCUUAUAAAUCUUUCGGCCAACGUAAUGUUCAGUUACAUCAUAUGAACUUCAGCACAUCUCUUCUGGUUUACUGAAUUAGUACUAACGAUGCCAUGUUUUUUCGGCAUGGAAUACUGCAGAUAACCUGACAGAAGCGCUCUUGUUCAUAUCAAACUUCAUGGGCGACUUCCACAAAGCCACUGCAUCUGGGGUCCUCCUCUGAAAAAGAAAGGAACACCAUCAACGUCCACUGGUACAGAAGGAAAUCUGUACUCCACCAUAGGCUAGCCUUCAUUCAUGUUUUGUCGUGAGGUCCCGGAUGUUCAAGUCGGAAGAAGCAUAGAGUUCUAGCUCAUUGGAGCUAGUUAAACUGUGAUAGCUAGCUCACGAUUUGUUCAAUGAUUUUUCUUCCGUUAAUAUUUAUCCUGUAAUCUAUCGCCUUGAACCACACUAACAUUUGCUCCAUGAUUCCCUAACUGCUCAGCAUGUUGAUCUGUUUUGAACAUCUGAAUUUUUUAUGUGUGUAGGGGGACUUGUCAUGUGGCACGCCAAGCAACAGCAAGGGGAGGGGGUCUCUGAAAUGUCGCCGCUGUCGAUCAUUGCUAGUGUCAUGGAUUGAUGAUGGAUGGUUGCUGUUAGUUUAGCUCCUUGGUAGUACCUCCUUGUCUUUCAGGCGGCGGCUGCUGCUGGUGGUAGAAAUGGUAGCUACAGUCCUAUGUACUUCUUGUGCUUGGAUUGCCCUUGGUUGAAUGUACCUACUAUUGUACCCGUGGCUGUUUAAGGAAUCCUUUUGUGUUGAAAGAAA